rnacentral:lncRNA from 10 species
UUCCUUCCUGUUACCUCAGAUAAAAUAUUUAGGAGAAAGGAUUACCGGCAUGACAAUAAGGCUCAUUAUUUUCAGAAGCUUGUAACUAUGCAGGAGAAUUUAUAUGUACUUCUGUGUGAUGAAGAAUUGGAUGCAGUCUCUUUGGAAGCUGUGCACCAACAAAAGAUGAAGAAUAGACAAGCCCACUCUUCAUCAGGUAACAAAUCUGGCAUCUGAUCACAAUUGAUGGCUGGUUUAUCAUCUACAAGGAACCAUGCCAAUAUUGUGUUAAAAGUUUUAACAAAAUUAACUGAUUGCACCCCUAACAACUUCUGUUUCCAGAGGGCCCAAACUGUGACAAAGAAUGUCAUAAGUGCAGCGAAGUGAUUUGCAUUUUAUGCAGUGAAACCAGGUGUGCGAAACAACUAGUACAUCAGAAAAUUCAGCAAUCCAGAAUUCCGGUUUUUCAGAAAAGGGCAAGAGCAGGGCCAGGGAGAGGACUAAAAUAAUGAAGACCAGAACUAGACAAGUUAUCAAGACGUACUAAUUCCUUAGUUGAUAAAGAACCUGUGCAAGAGACAGUGAUACAUCAGAGAGAGAAAAACAUUAAGCACUGAGAGGGGACAAACUGAUGGAUUCCAUGGCAAAGUUUCCUGACACAAUUCACCUCCAGAAAUGUUAAUGUUACUUAGUAGAAAAAAAUAAAAUUCUCCA